GACGAACGCUGGCGGCGUGCCUAAUACAUGCAAGUCGAACGGAGUGGCGAACGGGUGAGUAAUGUAUCGGAACGUGCCCAGUAGCGGGGGAUAACUACGCGAAAGCGUAGCUAAUACCGCAUACUAUUGGAGCGGCCGAUAUCGGAUUAGCUAGUUGGUGGGGUAACGGCUCACCAAGGCGACGAUCCCUAGCUGGUCUGAGAGGAUGACCAGCCAAACUGGAACUGAGACACGGUCCAGACUCCUACGGGAGGCAGCAGUGGGGAAUAUUGCACAAUGGGCGCAAGCCUGAUGCAGCCAGGCCGCGUGUAUGAAGAAGGCCUUCGGGUUGUAAAGUACUUUCAGCGAGGAGGCGUUACUCGCAGAAGAAGCACCGGCUAACUCCGUGCCAGCAGCCGCGGUAAUAC
rnacentral:rRNA from 1 species